rnacentral:rRNA from 1 species
AGUGAACGCUGGCGGUAGGCCUAACACAUGCAAGUCGAACGGCAGCACAGUAAGAGCUUGCUCUUACGGGUGGCGAGUGGCGGACGGGUGAGGAAUACAUCGGAAUCUACUUUUUCGUGGGGGAUAACGUAGGGAAACUUACGCUAAUACCGCAUACGACCUACGGGUGAAAGCAGGGGAUCUUCGGACCUUGCGCGAUUGAAUGAGCCGAUGUCGGAUUAGCUAGUUGGCGGGGUAAAGGCCCACCAAGGCGACGAUCCGUAGCUGGUCUGAGAGGAUGAUCAGCCCAACUGGAACUGAGAAACGGUCCCGGCUCCUAAGGGAGGCAGCAGUGGGGAAUAUUGGACAAUGGGCGGAAACCUGAUCCAGCCCUACCGCGUGGGUGAAGGAGGCCUUCGGGUUGUAAAGCCCUUUUGUUGGGAAAGAAAAGCCGCCGGUUAAUACCCCGCUGUUCUGACGGUACCCAAAGAAUAAGCACCGGCUAACUUCGUG